ensembl:snRNA U6 U6 spliceosomal RNA
GUGCUCCCUCUUGAAGCCCACACACUACAAUUGGGUAGACACAGAGAAGACUGUCAUGUUCUCUGCUCAAGGGUGACACAUAAAUUCAUGAAAAAUAUAAUUAU